rnacentral:pre_miRNA from 1 species
UAAAUUUAAUUUGCCAAAAUAUUUUCGUCGCUUUGAGACCACGACCUGUUCACUGACAAAAUUCCGUGCUCAAAGCGAUGAAAAUAUUUUGGCAAAUUAAAUU